CAAUUGCAAGUUACCCCUGUAGUCACGUAGAAGUUGUUCUUCCUUUCUCGCUGUGCUGCCGUCAACAACUCGCCGGUCUAUUGCGCAGCUAUUUGUGGGUGGCCGGUGGAGGAAAGAACAAUUCGAACAAAAAUAUGAUUUCUAUCCGAUGGUGAAGCUGAAGCUGAAGCUGGUGGCUAGAAGGGCGGAGAAGCAGAUCCCAACGGAGCCGCACUGGGCAUUUUGUUACUCUAUGCUUCAUAAAGUUUCUAGAAGCUUCGUUCUCGUCAUUCAGCAGCUAGAUACCGAUUUUCGUGACGCUGUCCCUCUAUUUAGCAUGUAUAGUCUUCCAACUAAGUUACCUACAGCCAAAAUCUUCAUGGUCACAUGGUCCUGCAAAAGACAUUUAUUAUUGGUAAAGGUUAUCCUAAGAGAGUUAUCAUAGCAUGCCUUACUCACAGACAACAAGUUAUGUUUGAAAGUAGGUACAUAAAGCACCUCAUUAAGGAUGAUUUCUUUAGUUAAUUGUAUUUUACCUGUCCAGUUUACUUUCUUCACAGUCCCAUCAGGCAAUUUAACAUGUAUAGGUGAGUUAAGGGCCUUUGGAUCAGAUAAUAGUCUCAAUUCACAGCACAUAUGAGUGGAUGCGCCACUAUCUAUUAUCCAUUGGUUAAUAGAAGAUGCAGUGGUAUUGAAUAAAGCAAGUGUAUUACCUGUGAAAUCUUGGUAUUCUAUCAUAUUGGCAGCAGGUUCUGGCAUGUAUCU